rnacentral:rRNA from 1 species
UCCUGACUGACCGAUAGUGAACCAGUACCGUGAGGGAAAGGCGAAAAGAACCCCGGCGAGGGGAGUGAAAAAGAACCUGAAACCGUGUACGUACAAGCAGUGGGAGCCUCUUAAUGGGGUGACUGCGUACCUUUUGUAUAAUGGGUCAGCGACUUAUAUUCUGUAGCAAGGUUAACCGAAUAGGGGAGCCGAAGGGAAACCGAGUCUUAACUGGGCGUUAAGUUGCAGGGUAUAGACCCGAAACCCGGUGAUCUAGCCAUGGGCAGGUUGAAGGUUGGGUAACACUAACUGGAGGACCGAACCGACUAAUGUUGAAAAAUUAGCGGAUGACUUGUGGCUGGGGGUGAAAGGCCAAUCAAACCGGGAGAUAGCUGGUUCUCCCCGAAAGCUAUUUAGGUAGCGCCUCGUGAAUUCAUCUCCGGGGGUAGAGCACUGUUUCGGCAAGGGGGUCAUCCCGACUUACCAACCCGAUGCAAACUGCGAAUACCGGAGAAUGUUAUCACGGGAGACACACGGCGGGUGCUAACGUCCGUCGUGAAGAGGGAAACAACCCAGACCGCCAGCUAAGGUCCCAAAGUCAUGGUUAAGUGGGAAACGAUGUGGGAAGGCCCAGACAGCCAGGAUGUUGGCUUAGAAGCAGCCAUCAUUUAAAGAAAGCGUAAUAGCUCACUGGUCGAGUCGGCCUGCGCGGAAGAUGUAACGGGGCUAAACCAUGCACCGAAGCUGCGGCAGCGACACUAUGUGUUGUUGGGUAGGGGAGCGUUCUGUAAGCCUGUGAAGGUGGCCUGUGAGGGUUGCUGGAGGUAUCAGAAGUGCGAAUGCUGACAUAAGUAACGAUAAAGCGGGUGAAAAGCCCGCUCGCCGGAAGACCAAGGGUUCCUGUCCAACGUUAAUCGGGGCAGGGUGAGUCGACCCCUAAGGCGAGGCCGAAAGGCGUAGUCGAUGGGAAACAGGUUAAUAUUCCUGUACUUGGUGUUACUGCGAAGGGGGGACGGAGAAGGCUAUGUUGGCCGGGCGACGGUUGUCCCGGUUUAAGCGUGUAGGCUGGUUUUCCAGGCAAAUCCGGAAAACCAAGGCUGAGGCGUGAUGACGAGGCACUACGGUGCUGAAGUGACAAAUGCCCUGCUUCCAGGAAAAGCCUCUAAGCAUCAGGUAACAUCAAAUCGUACCCCAAACCGACACAGGUGGUCAGGUAGAGAAUACCAAGGCGCUUGAGAGAACUCGGGUGAAGGAACUAGGCAAAAUGGUGCCGUAACUUCGGGAGAAGGCACGCUGAUAUGUAGGUGAAGCGACUUGCUCGUGGAGCUGAAAUCAGUCGAAGAUACCAGCUGGCUGCAACUGUUUAUUAAAAACACAGCACUGUGCAAACACGAAAGUGGACGUAUACGGUGUGACGCCUGCCCGGUGCCGGAAGGUUAAUUGAUGGGGUUAGCGGUAACGCGAAGCUCUUGAUCGAAGCCCCGGUAAACGGCGGCCGUAACUAUAACGGUCCUAAGGUAGCGAAAUUCCUUGUCGGGUAAGUUCCGACCUGCACGAAUGGCGUAAUGAUGGCCAGGCUGUCUCCACCCGAGACUCAGUGAAAUUGAACUCGCUGUGAAGAUGCAGUGUACCCGCGGCAAGACGGAAAGACCCCGUGAACCUUUACUAUAGCUUGACACUGAACAUUGAGCCUUGAUGUGUAGGAUAGGUGGGAGGCUUUGAAGUGUGGACGCCAGUCUGCAUGGAGCCGACCUUGAAAUACCACCCUUUAAUGUUUGAUGUUCUAACGUUGGCCCCUAAUCGGGGUUGCGGACAGUGUCUGGUGGGUAGUUUGACUGGGGCGGUCUCCUCCUAAAGAGUAACGGAGGAGCACGAAGGUUGGCUAAUCCUGGUCGGACAUCAGGAGGUUAGUGCAAUGGCAUAAGCCAGCUUGACUGCGAGCGUGACGGCGCGAGCAGGUGCGAAAGCAGGUCAUAGUGAUCCGGUGGUUCUGAAUGGAAGGGCCAUCGCUCAACGGAUAAAAGGUACUCCGGGGAUAACAGGCUGAUACCGCCCAAGAGUUCAUAUCGACGGCGGUGUUUGGCACCUCGAUGUCGGCUCAUCACAUCCUGGGGCUGAAGUAGGUCCCAAGGGUAUGGCUGUUCGCCAUUUAAAGUGGUACGCGAGCUGGGUUUAGAACGUCGUGAGACAGUUCGGUCCCUAUCUGCCGUGGG